rnacentral:rRNA from 1 species
AAAAGAUCGAAUGGGGAGAUUCAUCGUCAGCGGCGUUGGCCUCACGAUGGCUCGUGAUGUCGCUGGACUUCGGUCCCGGUGGCACGCGGUCGUCGCGUUACGUCCGAUGUCGUCGACGUGCAUUUCUCCCCUAGUAGAACGUCGUGACCCGUUGGGUGCCGAUCUACGGCCCGGGUGGGUGUCUGUCGUGUCGUCUCAAAAACGCACGCGACAAACCCUCGGUCGCCAGUAUCGGCUGCCCGGCGGUACUCGCAUGGUAUCGGGCCGCAAUACUCGAACUGCGUCAAGCCCGUCGCAAGCGCGGUCAGUUAUGUCGCGGAGGUCGGACCUAGCGCCGUCCCCGUGCCUGGCCAGCUGUUGGCAGACGGUGUUCUCUGACUGGCCAAAAAACUAAUUGAAUGUGUGUGAUACCGGUCGGCGACGCUACUGCUUUGGGUAAUCUCAGGACCCGUCUUGAAACACGGACCAAGGAGUCUAACAUGUGCGCGAGUCAUUGGGACCGCAUGCCUAAAGGCGAAAUGAAAGUGAAGGUCGGCCUAGUGCCGACCGAGGGAGGAUGGGCCGCGUUACGAUGCGGCUCCGCACUCCCGGGGCGUCUCGUUCUCAUUGCGAGAAGAGGCGCACCCAGAGCGUACACGUUGGGACCCGAAGGUGU